rnacentral:rRNA from 1 species
UACGGGGGGGGCAAGCGUUGUUCGGAAUUACUGGGCGUAAAGGGCUCGUAGGCGGCCAACUAAGUCGGACGUGAAAUCCCCAGGCUCAACCUGGGAACUGCGUCCGAUACUGGUUGGCUUGAAUUCGGGAGAGGGAUGCAGAAUUCCAGGUGUAGCGGUGAAAUGCGUAGAUAUCUGGAGGAAUACCGGUGGCGAAGGCGGCAUCCUGGACCGACAUUGACGCUGAUGAGCGAAAGCCAGGGGAGCAAACGGG